GACGAACGCUGGCGGCGUGCCUAAUACAUGCAAGUCGAACGCUGAAGGAGGAGCUUGCUCUUCUGGAUGAGUUGCGAACGGGUGAGUAACGCGUAGGUAACCUGCCUGGUAGCGGGGGAUAACUAUUGGAAACGAUAGCUAAUACCGCAUAAGAGUAGAUGUUGCAUGACAUUUACUUAAAAGUUGCACUUGCAUCACUACCAUAUGGACCUGCGUUGUAUUAGCUAGUUGGUGGGGUAACGGCUUACCAAGGCGACGAUACAUAGCCGACCUGAGAGGGUGAUAGGCCAAACUGGGACUGAGACACGGCCCAGACCACUACGGGAGGCAGCAGUAGGGAAUCUUUGGAAAAGGACGGAAGGCGGAACGAGCAACGACGCGUGAGGGAAGAAGGUUGUCGGAUCGGAAAGCUCUGUUGUAAGAGAAGGACGAGUGUGAGAGUGGAAAGUUCACACUGUGACGGUACCUGAACAGAAAGGGACGGCUAACUACGUG
rnacentral:rRNA from 1 species